CGAGCGAGGGGCUCGAAGGGAGCCCGGGAGACGCCUGCUCUGCGGUCCUGAGCUUUGUGGGCCGCGGCCGUCUGAGGUCGUCGUGCCGCCGCCGAGUUAACGGUCGUCGGAAUCCAGAGCCUUCGUCCUGAGGAAGAAACUUAUGUCUUCAAUACAUUCUUAAUGUGUGACCUUUGAAGGUUGAGAAGGCAAAAUUAGUAGGUACACAAUUACACUUUGUUUCUUCUUCCCCUUGCACUUUUUUUUAAAUAACUGCCACACUGAGUGAAUCAGGGAUGUCACUCAGCAUGAACAUGUUGUUUGAACGUGAAACCCAGUAUGAAACCCAACAACUUGGGUUUUUUUUUUUUUUUAAGAUUUAUUUAUUUAUUUGAAAGGCAGAGUUACAAUAAGGUAGAGGCACAGAGAGAGGGAGAGAGAGGUCUUCCAUCCGCUGGUUCACUACCCAGAUGGCCACAAAGGCCAGAGCUGCCCUCAUCCAAAGCCAGGAGCCAGGAUCUUCUGGAUCUCCCACACAGGUGCAGGGGUGUCGCUCCCCCACUUGCGGAGGAACGACACCAGACCCUGCGCUGUUCUCUUUGCCCGGCCCUCCCCCCACGAAGGGGCGGCACCCCCGCGGCUUCCAUGGAGGAGUGGCACACUGCCUGCUGGCUCUCUCAGGGGUUCCUCAGAUGUUCCUCCUGCAUGUUGUCUCUCUCCUCCUUUAUAGUCCUCUUCCACCAAUCCCAACUCUACUGGCAUUCUCUCCCCACCUGCUGAGCACGCUGCUCUCCUCCAAUCAGGGGCAGGACAGCUCCUGCAGCUUGUUAGUCGAAUUGGUGAGGCAGCUGUGUGGAAGUUGUUUACUCCCUCUCAGCGCCAUAUGGUGAUCAGAUGCAUAGAGUUAGUCUUAGCAGUUCCAGUAGUUUAGUCUCGGUAAUUUCAGUAUUUGUCCUCAGUAUUUAUUUAUCUCCCGGGCAAUGGGCCCUGCUCCCCACACAGGGGACCAAGGACUUGGGCCAUCUUCUGCCUUCCCAGGCAUGGCAGAGAGCUGGGUCAGAAGUGGAGCAGCCGGGACUCAAAGCAGCACCCAUAUGGGAAGCCAGCACUGUAGGCCGAAGCUUUACCCGCUGUGCCACAGCCACACACCCCCACACACACUUCUUUCUACAAGAGAAAGUAUAAGUGACUGACAUAAUUGUAGCCACUACUGAGAAAUUUUGUAUUUUUACCAUUGUUAAAACCAUAAUUCACAGUGGUAGAAUUUGUUUCACAAUAGAGAUAUAUGGGAGUUCUUUUGGGAAGUUUUGAGUUCACUGGAACCAUUUGACUCUGCAAGUAUAGAUAGUCAUGUAUUUCUUAUAGGUCUGAACCUGGUCAUUUCUUAUCUAUCUGUUGCCUCAAUUUUCUUACCUAUAAAAAUGAAUAGCAGCACUCAGUGCCCACCCACUUCUAGGCCUAAAUUGAGAAUAAAUAUGUUUGGCAUAAUGGAAUAAUUUCUGUAAAGGGAUGCUAUCUUGAGUUGAGUAGCUUGGUGCAACAGAAGGAGCUCCAGGAAGUCAGGCCCAAUCCUUCAUUUUAUAGGCUGAAUGCUUCUCAGUUCUUGUUUCCCAUUCUGUGAAAUUCCUUUCUUAGAUCAUUAACAUGAAACAUUGCUGGAUCUAUUCUGAAAGAUUUUGUAAUAUCUUAAUGAGUCUUUAGUGCCUUCAGGCAAUAGCUUUCUUUUAACAGAGUAAAUUCUUAAUAUAAUAUAACAUUUAUCAAUUGGCUAGUCUCUUAAAUAGUUGAGUUUUCCUCUAUCACACAGAAAGCCUCUUACCAUAUUGAAAAAGUGGAAAAAUUAGAAGAACAUUACUUAACAAGGUGAAGUAGUUUUAAAAAUUUAAGGCCAGAGAAGCAAGCCAGAAAACCAGAAAUACGAAUGCAAGAAAUAAUUUAUAGGUAGAUAGUACAAUUGAAGUGAAAAGGGAUUUGGGAUAAUCUCUUCUUCAACUAUGAAUCUGUACUCUAUCACAUGUACAAUAAUAGUUUAUUGUUGACUUGUCAGCUACUCAGCAGUCUUUCUAUGUGGACUCAUUUAAUGACAAAUCACUUGGUGUAAGGACCACACAUUCUCCUGUAUUUCACCAUGUUUUCAUGAAUAUAGUGCAUUAUUCUGGCAUUUUGAAAUGAGUUUGACAAUUAAUAGCUUUAUAUAGGUUACCACCCAAUGUAAAUAAUUACACUUUUCUGUCCCCACUUUCUUUUUAAAAAGUUUAUUUGAAAGACAAAGAGGCAGAGAUCUUGCAACCACUGGUUCACUCCCCAAAUACUUGCAACAGCUGGGGCUGGGCCAGGUGGAAGCCAGGAGCCAAGAACUUAAUCCAGGUCCACCGUGUGGGUGGCAUAGAACCUAACUACUUGAGUAAUCACCUUUUGGCCCCCAGGGUGUGCAUUAGCAGGAAGCUGGAAUCAGAGCAGAACUGGGAUUUGAACCCAGGCAUUAAAGUUGACGUGUGGGCAUCCCAAAUGGUGUCCUUUUACACCGAACACUUGCCCUUUUGCCCACUUUAUGACUGCUCUUUGCCUUCUCUGGCACAAUUACCUAAAUUAUUAUUGACUUUCCUUUCCCUGCCCUAAUAUCCUUUUUAAUUUUUCCUGUGAUGUAAUCAUACCUAAGAUUUACUUGACACAUACUCUUACCCUGUAUCAUCUCAUUUCUAUAUCAGCAGUCCAAAUGAGGCAACCACUGUUAAUCUCCAUAUGGGGAAACUGAGGCACAGAGAAGUUACAUAACUUAUGUCAGGUCCCACAAUUAGUGAAUAGCAGACCCUGGAGUCAAACACAGUUUUGUCUGAAUCUAAAUCACAAGUUCUUUUUCUUUUUUAUAAUUUAUCUGUUGGAAAAAUUACAGAGAGAGAGAGCUUCCACCAGCAAGUUCAUUCUCCAGAUGGCUGCAAUGGCCAGAGCAGAACCAGGAUCUUCAUCUGGGUCUCACACAUGAGUGGCAGGAACCUAAACACUUGUGCCAUCUUCUGCUGCUUUUCCCAGGCCAUUAGCAGGGAUCAGAAGUGGAGCAGCCUGGACAUGAAGUGAUGUCCAUAUGGGAUGCCAGCUUUUCACUGUUCCAUAACACAAACCCCAAUCACAAGUUCUUAACCACUGUGUUCUGAGAAAAACAGUGAAAUCUAGUAGGUGGCCUAGUGUUAGCAACCAUGUCUAGGUGUGGCUAGGAGCUGGCUUGGCACAGCUAGGCCUUGGUAUUCCAAAAGCAAUUUGAGAGAACAUCAUCAGUAUCAGAUAAGGCCACUCCGUGAUCUUGAUUGAUAGAAAUGAACAUAAGAAUAUAAUUAUGGUAGGAAAUAGACAAAAAUGUUAAUGUUCUCCAAGCUGCCAAAUGGAAAAUACACAAAGAAAAAACAAACUUACAUAAGCAGCUAUUGCUUCUUUAUCAAUUUCAACUUAAGCCUCAUUCUAAUCUUUUCUCUUGAGAUAAGAUUAAAACAACCAAUUAUAGAAUUACCUCUGCUUCCUUUCACUAUCUGGUUUAGAGCAUAAAGCAAAGUUCCACUUCCUUAAACCUUCUACAAAAUCACAUAACAAACUUAAGUCUUAAGUCCCUUUAACACUCUCUUUCUGAGAUGCACAUGUUUUAGAGUGUGUAUUCUCCUUUACUGCAAUGAAUGAUAAGCUCAACCCUCCCAACCACAGCUGUGUUACUGAUGAUGUUAGGCUGAAGAGCAUUUGUAAUAUUUUCUGGACUGUUAUAUACUAUUAUAUACCAUGUAUUGUGGAAAACAUACUUGCCAGUCAAAAAGUUGGACAUCAUUUUGUAAAAACAACAACAAAAAACUUCAGUCCAUCAAUUCAUAGGCAGAAUAACUCAAAAGUGGAUCAUAAAUCUAAAUGUAAAAUUAUAAAACUUAUGGAAGAAAACAAGGGAAAAUCUUUGUGCUCUUGGAUUAGAGGAAAAUAUUUCUUAGAUUCAACACUGGUACCAGUGUUGUGACAUCAUGGGUAAAGCCGUGGUUCCAGCUGCUCCACUUCCAAGCCAGCACCCUGCUAAUGGCCAGGAAGAAGCAGUAGAAUAUGGCACAGUGUUUGGGCCCCUGCCAACCACAUAGAAGACUCAGAUGAGGCUACUGGCUCCUGGCUUCAGCAUGGACCAGCCCUGGCCAUUACAGGCACCUAGGGAGUGAAACAACAGAAGAUUCAUUAUCUCUCUCUCUCUCUCUCUCUCUCUCUCUCUUUCUCUCUCUCUUUCUCUCUCUUUCAAGUAAACAACUUUUUUUUCUUAAAGAUUUUUAUUUAUUUGAAAGAGUUACAUAGAGAGGAGAGGCAGAGAGAGAAAGAGAGAGAAAGAGAGGUCUUCUAUCCGCUGGUUCACUCCUCAGUUGGCCACAAUGUCCAGAGUUAAGCCAAUCCGAAGCCAGCAGCCAGGAGUUUCUUUGGGGUCUGCUAUGCAGGGGCAGGAGCCUAAGGACUUGGGCCAUCUUCUGCUUUCCCAGGCCAUAGUAGAGAGCUGGAUCAGAAGUGGAGCAGCCGGGACUCGAACUGGCACUCACAUGGGAUGCUGGCACUGCAGGCGGCAGCUUCACCCACUGUGCCACAGCGCUGUUCCCCAAGUAAGCAAGUUUUUUCAAAAUAAAUAAACAAAUAAAUAAAGGAGAUACACCACAAAAACUCAAUCACUAAAAGAAGGAAAUUUUACAUUUACAAAAGCAUCUACUUUUUGGAUUAUGCUGCCGAGAAAAUGAAAGGCAAGCAAGAUACCAGGAGAAAAUAUUUGCAAAACAUAAAAUCUGGGAUGUGUUGCAUCUAGAUUGUAUUAAGAACUCUUACAACUCAUUAAGAACACCCACUUUUAAAAUGUGGGCACAACUGAAUGAUCACUUCAACAAAGAAGAUACAUGAAUUUCAGACACAUAAAAUUUCAGCACAUAAAACAUUGCAGAACAUCAUAAUCAUUGGGGAAUGGAAAUUAAAACCACAGUGAAGACCACUACUUGGUUAAAACAAAAAUAUUUCCAAAUGCUGCUAAGCAGCUAAAACCCACAGACAUUGUUGGUGGGAAUGCCAAAUGAUACAAACACUUGGGAAAAUGGUUUGGCAGUUUCUUACAAAAUUAUAUAUACACUCACUACAUAAUCCAGGAAUCCCACUACUAAAUAUUUACCUGAGGCAAAUGAAAACUUGUUCACACAAAGACCUGGACACAUGUUUUAUAAUUGCCAAGGACCCUUUAAUUGAUGAGUGGAUAAGCAAAUGGUGAUCUGUAUAUACAAUGGAAUCUACUUAGCAACAAAAGGAACAGUCAACUCUUACACACAAGUAAGUCUCAAAUGCAUUAUUGCAAAUGAAAGAUGCAAAAUUGGAAAGCCUACAUACGUAAGAUUUCAUUUAUAUGACAUUUGGGAAAAGGCAAAACCACAGGGAAAGAAAAUGCCCUUGGCCUGCGCCACGGCUCAAUAGGCUAAUCCUCCACCUUGCUGCGCUGGCACACCGGAUUCUAGUCCCGGUCGGGGCUCCGGAUUCUGUCCCGGUUGCCCCUCUUCCAGGCCAGCUCUCUGCUGUGGCCCAGGAGUGCACUGGAGGAUGGCCCAAGUGCUUGGGCCCUGCACCCCAUGGGAGACCAGGAGAAGCACCUGGCUCCUGCCAUCGGAUCAGCGCGGUGCGCUGGCCGCAGCGCUGCAGCCACGGCGGCCAUUGGAGGGUGAACCAACGGCAAAGGAAGACCUUUCUCUCUGUUUCUCUCUCACACUGUCCACUCUACCUGUCAAAAAAACAAACAAAAAAAAAAGAGAGAGAGAGAAAAUGCCCUGAUUGCCUGGUAAGUGGAAAGAAUUGACUAUAAAGAAGCUUAAGGGAUUUGAGGGUAGGUGAUAGAACUAUUCUGUUUUAAUUAUGAUAUAGGUUACUGUGGGGAGCAACUCGGACUAGACUGUUACUGGAAUUAAGACUUAUUCUAUGCAUCUGCUCUCCCACAAUAUGGCGCUGAGAAGGGAGUAACAACUUCUACGCAGUUGCCUCUUGCCAACUUGAGUGAUGACCUGCAGGAGCUGAUCCUGCUCGUGAUUGGAGGAGAGCAGCGUACUCGGCGUGUGGGUAGCAGAGUUGGGAUUGGUGGAAGAGGACUAUAAAGGAGGAGAUAGACAACAUGCACCAGGAACAUCUAUCUGAAGGAACACCUGUGCAGCCCCCGAGAGAGCCAGCCGGCAGUGUGCCGCUCCCCCGCAGAAGUGGGGAAAGUGGCGGGGGAACCGCCCUUCCACAGAGGUGGAAGGGUUGGUAGCCAACCCGGGAAGAACCAGCAGCAAACCCGGGGAGGGCCGAGCAGACAAAAGAACAGCGCAGGGUCCUGUGUCGUUCCUCCGCGAAGACAGGGAGCGACAGGUUACACAAUAUAUGCAUCUGUCAAAAUUCAUGGAACUGUACACCAAAGAGAAUAGUUUUGGUGUAUGUAUUUACUUGUUUGUAAAUUACACCUCAGUAUUGAUAUGGGUGGGAGGAUGUUGAGAUGAAGUAGGGCCCCCUCACACCAUGUAUGUGAAGACUUGUCUAAAGGUGAGCAGCCAGUUAGACUCCUAAUGGGUAGCACUUCACAUGUGAUUUUGCUCUUAGGUUUUUGCCUAGUUGCUUACCUGGCUAUUGCUGCUGGCUAAUUCAUGCUCUCAGAUUCUCUUACCUCUGAGUAACUGGUAGAGUAACUUGAGUGCUCCAGUUUGAGUCUGGUUUCCACCUCUAAUUUCACCCAUUGGAGUUGUGAGAAAUUAAAUAUGCAGUAGUCUGAUUCUGCUACAGGUUCUGCUUUUCCUCUGGGCUGUUUGGCUUUGUCUGGAUUCUUUUUCAGUAGUCUCCUGCAUUACUUGGAAUUAUAGCCUUUGUUUCUUGUAACCAGGAGAAUCUAAUGACAAUGUGAGAUACUUCUUUUACACCACUCAUGUGUCCAGUACCAGUAGAUAAAGUAUAUAAGUCUUAACCUUAAAGAGUUUACACUUGGGAAAGACAAGAUGUUCACAUUAAGCAUUUACAAAUCAUUAAAGAUCAAUACAAAUAAAUACCAAAAUGAGAAGUCAAAAAAUGAGGACUGAGUGAAAGGAAAGAUAGAUAUGCAUAUGUGGACUGAAAUAAGCUUCCUGACAGGAAGAGGAAGAAAUGAUAUUUUUACAAGUAUUGAGUGCAUAUUUUCAUCAGGACUUGAGCUAGAUGCUUAUAAAUUGUCAGAGAGGAAAAAUUACUAUCUUCCAUUCACAUCCAGUAUAGAUGUUAGGACCAAGGAGGGGAAAUAAUAGUAAAAUCUGUUGCAUCUUGGAGCAAAACACCCAAAGUGGUGGGUCAUUCAGCAUAGGCAUAUUAUCACUGGAAUAGUUAAACGGAGGUUAGUGAAGCUGGACAAGGUAGAGCUUUAUGAACACCCCAGAGCUGAACCAUAGGAUUUUCAUUGUCAUCUGAAACAGCCAAGUUGAAGUGGAAGAACAUGGAUGUUUACCAUGAGAAGAAAGAUUUAACUGAGUUGUUUUCUACAUGACCCCACAACACAAUUGGAAUUGUUUGGGAUUUGUGGGAACUACAAGUAAUAGACUCUCUCAGUUUGGUUUGUGUUUGGGAACAGUUGCCCACCCUGUAUAUAAUACUGUAUGAACUGUGAGGAGAUGGUUCCUCUUUUGCAAGUGAAGAAAAUCUGAGGAUAGUUAGUAUCUUAAAUUGGGUCUUCUAUUACUGGGCCAGUGCUUUGGCAUAGUAGGCUAAGCCUCCACCUGUGGUGCUAGCAUCCCAUGUGGGUGCCACUUCAUUUCCCGGCUGCUCCUCUUCUGAUCCAGCUCUUCUAAUGGCCUGGGAAAGCAGUGGAAGAUGGCCCAAGUACUUGAGCCUUGGCACCUGCUUGGGAGACCCUGAAGAAACUCCCAGCUCCUGGCUUCAGAAGGCCUGGCUCUGGCUGUUGUGGCCAUUUGAAGAGUGAACCAGUGGAUGGAAUACCUCUCUCUCUGUCUCUCCCUCUCUAUCUGUAACUCUACCUCUCAAAUAAAUAAGCUUAAAAUUAAAAAAUAACAGUUUUUUUAAAAAAUAUUUAUUUAUUUGAAAGACAGUUGCAGAGAGAGGUAGAGAGAAAGAGAGGUCUUCCAUCUGCUGGCCCACUCCCCAGAUGACCGCAGUGGCCAGAACUGCGCAGAUCAGGAGCCAGGAGCUUCUUCUGGGUCUCUCACAUGGGCGCAGGGGCCCAAGGACUUGGGCCAUCUUGUACUGCUUUCCCAGGCCAUAGCACAGAGCUAGAUCGGAAGAGGAGCAGCCGGAACUAGAACCAGCACCCAGGUUAGUAGGAUUUCUCCUAACUUGAAACACUGAUCUCAAACAAUUUGCAAUGGCAAAUGAGUUCUAUAAGGGAAUCUUUUAAAAUACAUCCUUUAUAUUCUCAUUAAAUAUAAGGGAAGUAGGAACCAAUCCUUUAUCAGAAUGAAAAGCAGCCAACAUUAAUCUCUCCCUACACCUAAAACUGUUGAAACUAAAAUUUCUAUCAGUGACUGCUUGACCCACUUUCCUUCCUUGCUUUCAGGACACACCUUUACAUGGGUCUAAUCAUUUAUUUGCUGGGAGAAUAAUUAGCUUUUCAGAGCCUCUGUGCUAGUUAACAGUCCAAAAAUACAUUAGUCCCACUGCCCGUUGCUUCUUAGAACAGAUUAUAGGAAUGACAAAGUUUGAACAAGAAUGUAUCUAUCAGUGCCUGUGUGCUAAUGAAAGCUGUUACUUCCAAUUUCCUUGGCUCAUUGGUUUCUGGUAGGUUGCUUUAACCAUGUGCUGUCUUCUCUCAAGAUUUCUGGAGCCUUGAGCAGAUUAAAACCGAGUUUCAAGGUUAAGUGACUAGGCAACAUAAUAUGGCAAUUCAAAGUCCAGGUGCUGUAACAAGACUUGCAUUUUUUAAAAAAGAUUUAUUUUAUUUGAAAGGCAGAGUUACAGAGAGGCAGGGGCUGAAAGAGAGAGAGGUCCUCCAUCUGCUGGUUCACUCCCCAAAUGGCCACAAUGUCCAGAGCUGGGCCAGUCUGAAGCCAGGAACCAGGAGCUUCUUCCAGGUCUCCCAUGCAGGUACAGGGACCCAAGGACUUGGGCCAUCUACUGCCUUCGCAGGCCACAGCAGAAAGCUGGAUUGGAAGUGGAACAGCUGGGACCCAAAGCAGGGCCCAUAUGGCAUGCCAGCACUGUAUGUAGAUGGUGGCUUUACCCGCUACACAGUGCUGACCCCAAGACUUGGGUUUUAAUCAUGACUGCUACUUUAGUCAAGUUCCUUAAUUUGUUUGGGUUUCUUUUCCAUCUCUCUGAAAUGUGGACUAGUAGUCCAUGUCUUAUAAGAUUGUGGUGAUGAUUGAGUAACAAUAUAUUACUCUGCUCAUUCACAAAGUAAGUACUCAGUACAUAGUAGCUGUCUGUACAGUGAUAGACCAUUGAAAGUACAGGGCUCAAACAUUAGAUAUCUUAAUUAAAAGUGAUUCCUGGCCAGUGCUACGGCUCACUAGGCUAAUCCUCCGCCUGUGGCGCCGGCACCCUGGGUUCUUGUCCUAGUUGGGGCACUGGAUUCUGUACUGGUUGCUCCUCUUCCAUUCCAGCUCUCUGUUGUGGCCUGGGAAAGCAGUGGGGGAUGGUCCAAGUGCUUGGGCCCUGCACCUGCAUGGGAGACUAGGAGGAAGCACCUGGCUCCUGGCUUCAGAUUGGCGCAGCGCCGGCUGUAGCGGCCAUUUGGGGGGUGAACCAAUGGAAGGAAGACCUUUCUCUCUGUCUCUCUCUCUCUCACUGUCUUAACUCUGCCUGUCCAAAAAAAAAAAAAAAAAAGUGAUUCCUUAGUGUGGGGAGCAACUGAGACUAGACUAAGUUACUGGAAUUAAGACUUAUUCUAUGCAUCUGCUCUCCCACAAUAUGGCGCUGAGAGAGACCAAACAACCUCUACGCAGCUGCCUCAUCAGUUUGACUGAUAAGCUGCAGGAGCUGAUCCUGCUCCUGAUUGGAGGAGAGCAGCGUGCUCAGCGUGUGGGCAGCAGAGCAUGGAUUGGUGGAAGAGGACUAUAAAGGAGGAGAGAGACAACAUGCACCAGGAACACCUGAGGAACAUCUGAGCAGCCCCCGAGAGAGCCGGCCGGCGGUGUGCCGCUCCUCCGUGGAAGCGGGGAAAGCGACGAGGGGGUGUCUCCCCCUCCACGGAGGUGGAGGGACCAGCAGCUAACCAGGGACGGCGUCGUUCCUCCGCAAGUGAGGGAACGGCAGCUAACCCGGGAAGAGCCAGGUAAAAAGAACAGCGCAGGGUCUAGUGUUGUUCCUCCACGAAUGGGGGAGCGACACCUUAGAUUAAGUAGCUUCUAUUACUCAUUCAGUUAUAGAAUUUUUGCUUUAAAUAUUAUAUAUGUACUUAUUACUCCUAAACGUAUAUCUGUAAUCCAAAUUCCUGCCAUGAAUUCCAGACUUGUAGGUACAAUCAGUUGUCUUUUGUACUUUUGCACUAACUAACAUAACAGGCAUUUCAAACCUGAAGUUGAAAACUGAAUUCCUGAUCUUGACCCUCAAAUGUACUCCUCUAGCAGUCUUUCCCAACUCAGUUGAUGACAACUAUAUCCUUAUCAUUGCUCAGUUAAGAAACUUUGGAGUUAUUCUUGAGCUCCCUCUUUUUCCUCACAUCUGACAUUGAAUGUUUGAAGACCUCAAAUUUCUUCAUCUACAUACAUUUUUUUUUUUUUUUGGACAGGCAGAGUGGACAGUGAGAGAGAGAGAGAGACAGAGAGAAAGGUCUUCCUUUGCCGUUGGUUCACCCUCCAAUGGCCGCCGCGGCCGGCGCGCUGUGGCCGGCGCACCGCGCUGAUCCGAUGGCAGGAGCCAGCAGCCAGGUGCUUUUCCUGGUCUCCCAUGGGGUGCAGGGCCCAAACACCUGGGCCAUCCUCCACUGCACUCCCUGGCCACAGCAGAGGGCUGGCCUGGAAGAGGGGCAACCGGGACAGAAUCUGGCGCCCCGACCGGGACUAGAACCCGGUGUACCGGCGCCGCUAGGCGGAGGAUUAGCCUAGUAAGCCGCGGCGCCGGCCCAUCUACAUACAUUUUAUAAAUCCGUUCUUCUCUCACUUGCUACAGCUGUUAGCCAGGCAUCCAUUAUUUCUCACCUGGAUUAUUGCAAUAGCCUCCUAACCAGUCUUAUUUUAGCUCUUGCCACUUACAGUCAGUUCUCAACAAAGCAUUCAGAGUGAUUGUUUGAAAGUUUAUGUCAGAUUAUGUCAACUCCUCUGCUCAAAAUCUUGCAGCGGCAUCCCAUAAGAUGAGUAAAAGCCGAAAUCCUCUCAGUUCUAUGAAGGCCCUAUGGGAAUUGUAUUCCUUCCCCUUUCUGUGUACCUUGGGUGUAUCUUCUGUCCCCUCAUCUUAAUCACUCUGCUCUAGCCAGGUUGGUCCAGUACUAUUCUUCAAACUUGGCAAGCAUUCUACUUACUCUUUCUUGCUGUUCCCUCUCCUAGAAGGCCUGGAAUUUCUGACUUGCUACCUCACUUGUUUCAGGUCUGCUCAGAUGUGGCUUUAUUAGGGAUGUCUUUUGUGAACAGCCUUCUUUAUACUGAAAAACUUAAAGAUUACCCUCUUCUGUGUUCUUUAAGAAUUCAUAGCUAAGGUACUAUAAGAAAACAAUGAAAAGAUAUUAUAAAAAAAAAAAAAACAUGAAAAAGUUCAUAAAAUUUCCUGAAGGAUAAAGAAACUCAACAGGAAAAGGUUGACUCAGCAAGAGAAUGACAACCCAGGAUCCCAACACUAACUUUUAGAAAUAUAAUGCUUCCAUUGAAUCUGAGAAGGGAAAAUAUACAGCAGAAGUAAAAGAACCCAGGGAAGAAAUAGCCAGAUAAUAGGAGGGACAGAUAGAUGAUGGGAGAGGUGAACCAGUAAGCAUUAGAUAGAACAAAAUAGUAAGUAAAACCAUUUUAAAACAUAAAGACUAUCCCUUUAAUUUCUUUUUCUUGCCUAAUAACUCUGGCUAAAACUUCGAGAACUAUAUUGAAUAGCAGUGGUGAGAGAAGGCAUCCUUGUCUGGUACCAGAUCUCAGUGGAAAUGCUUCCAACUUUUCCCCAUUCAAUAGGAUGUUGGCUGUGGGUUUUUCAUAAACUGCUUUGAUUGUAUUGAGGAAUGUUCCUUCCAUACCCAGUUUGCUUAGAGUUUUCAUCAUGAAAGGGUGUUGUAUUUUAUCAAAUGCUUUCUCUGUGUCUAUUGAGAUAAUCAUAUGGUUUUUCUUCUGCAGUCUGUUAAUGUGGUGUAUCACGUUGAUUGUUUUGCGAACAUUGAACCAUCCCUGCAUACUAGGGAUAAAUCCCACUUGGUCUGGGUGGAUGAUCUUUCUGAUGUGUUGUUGCAUUCUAUUGGCCAGAAUUUUAUUGAGGAUUUUUGCAUCUAUGUUCAUCAGGGAUAUUGGUCUGUAAUUCUCUUUCAAUGCUGCAUCUUUUUCCGGCUUAGGAAUUAAGGUGAUGCUGGCUUCAUAAAAAGAAUUUGGGAAGAUUCCCUCUUUUUCAAUUGUUCUGAAUAGUUUGAGAAGAAUUGGAGUCAGUUCUUCUUUAAAUGUCUGGUAGAAUUCAGCAGUGAAUCCAUCUGGUCCUGGGCUUUUCUUUGUUGGGAGGGCCUUUAUUACUGUUUCAAUUUCUGUCUCAGUUAUGGGUCUGUUUAGGUUUUCGAUGUCUUCCUGGUUCAAUUUAGGUAGGUUGCAUGUCUCCAGGAAUGUAUCCAUUUCUGAUAGGUUUCCCUGUUUGCUGGCAUACAAGUCCUUGUAGUAACUUCUGAUGAUUCUUUUUAUUUCUGUAAUGUCUGUUGUUACAUUUCUUUUUUCAUCUCUGAUUUUAUUGAUUUGGGUCUUUUCUCUCCUUUUUUUGGUUAGUUGGGCCAAUGGGGUGUCAAUUUUGUUUAUUUUUUCAAAAAACAGCUCCUCGUUUGGCUGAUUUUUUGUAAUGUGUUUUUUGGAUUCAAUCCUGUUGAUUUCUUCUCUGAUUUUAAUUAUUUCUCUUCUCAUACUAGAUUUGGGUCUGGUUUGCUGCAGAUUUUCUAGAUUCUUGAGAUGAUCUUGUGUUAGACAAUAAAUUCUUAGCUACAACACCAAAAUUCAAUCCAGGGCCGGCACCACGACUCACUAGGCUAAUCCUCCACUUGCGGUGCUGGUACUCCAGGUUCUAGUCCCGGUUGCUCCUCUUCCAGUCCAGCUCUCUGCUGUGGCCCGUGAGUGCAGUGGAGGAUGGUCCAAGUGCUUGGGCCCUGCACCUGCAUGGGAGACCAGGAGGAAGCACCUGGCUCCUGGCUUCAGAUCGGCACAGCACCGGCCGUAGUGGCCAUUUGGGGGGGUGAAUCAACGGAAGGAAGACCUUUCUCUCUGUCUCUCUCUCUCUCACUGUCUAACUCUGUCUGUCAAAAAAAAAAAAAUCAAUCCAGAAGAGAAAAAAAAAUAUAUAUAUAUAUGUAUAAACUGGACUUAAUCAAAAUUUAAAACUUGUAUUUCAUAAGACACUGUUAAAAAAUGAAGACAAAACUACAGAUAAAAUAUUUGUAAAUCAUAUUUCUGAUAAAGGAAUUGUAUCUAAGAUGCAUUAAGAAUCCACCCAGUAGUAGACAAUCCAGCUUAAGAGUGAGCAAAAUAUUUUAAUAAAGCAUUUUUAAAGUAUGUAUCAAUGACUAAUAAGCAUAUGGGAAAAUACAAUCAUUAGUCCUUAGGGAAAAAUAAAACCACAAUUUUACACCCACUAGAGUGCCUAUAAUUAAAAAGGCAACAGUAUUGGCAAAAAUGUGGAGAAACUGAAACCCUGAGCUAUUGCUGGUAAGAGUAUAAACAACCACUUUGUGGGUGGGUAUUGUGGUAGAGUGGGCUAAGCAAUUGCUUGGGACACCAACAUCCCGUAUGAAAGUGCUAUUUGGAGUCCUGGCUAAUCUGCUUCCUAUCCAGCUUUCUGCUAAUGCAUCAUGAGAGGCAGCCCCUGCCACCCAUGUGGGAUUUUCAGCUUUAGCCUGGCCCAGCUAUGGCUGUUAGGGCUGUUUGCAGAGUGAACCAAUGAAUGGAACAUCUCUCUUAUUCUUUCUUGCUUGCUCUUUCAAAUAGAUGAAAAUAAACAUUAAAAAAAAAAAAAACUUUGGGAUACAGUGUGGCUGUUUUUAAAAGAUACGAACAUACAGGUGACACAGCAACUCCAAUACUAAAUAUCCACCCAAGAGAAAUUGUAUCUACACAAACACUAUUAAGCAGAUAGUCAUAGCUGUAUUAUUCUUAAUAGCCCAAAAGUAGAAACAACCAGAAUGUCUACCAACUGAUGAAUGGAUACAAUACAGGAUAGGCAAUUCUCAUGUGCAGGUUCCAGGUUUGCCUACUUGCUAACAUUUAUUUGUGACUCCAAACCAAUAAUGCUUCUUCCCGGUCAUUUGUAGACAUGCACAUGUAUAAAGUGACAAAAAAUUUUAGUCACCCAACACGUGUUCCCACCUGAGGUUGCAGCAAUGUUCUAUCUUGUUUCAGCUCUUAUACUGUAAACAACUGUCAUUUUUACAGUCUACUUAGUGCCAUAUUUUUUGCAUUUUUGUUGGAGAUUUUAUUAUUUAAAAUGGCAUCUAAGCAUCACAGUGAAAUGUUGUGUAGUACUCUAAGGACAAAUAGAUUAUGAUGUGCCUUACAGAGAAAAUGAAUGUUUUGAAGAAGUUUCAUUGAGGUGCACAGUACACUGCCAUUGGUUGAGCUCAAUAUUAAUGAAUCAGUAAAAUAAGCAAGAUGCUUUUAAACAGAAACACAAAUAAAACACAGUUAUGUAUUUUAUAUAUUGAUGGGUUGAUGAAAAUGUAGAAUUUUGUAGUAACAUAACCUUGUAGUUCUCCCAGAAGCAAUGGUUCAGUAUUUAAUAACUCAGUGUUCACAGGUUUAUAAAUAUGACUUGUAGGACUAAUGAGAAUCAAAUGUAUACUAUACAAUGAAGUACUGUUCAGCAACAAAAACAAACUACUGAAACAUGUUAUAACAUACAUGAACCUCAGAAACAGAAUACUAAAUAUGUAGGGGGAAGAGAAAUUGAGACCCAAUGGAAUGUGCCAGUUCAUAAAUAUGGAAUAAAAUAAUAAUUUCAUUAUUGAACAAAAAUAUAUUGAACAAAAUAUUUGCUAAUAUUGAACAAAAAUAAUUGGGCAAAAUUACAAUAAUUUCAUUAUUGAACAAAAAGCAGAAUGCAUGUAGGUUUCCUACAAGUGGCUACAAAGCUAGAGGAUUUUAGCUUUAUUUAUCUGGAAUUAAAGAUACAGUCAUUAUAUAUUAUCCUAGUUUAAUAAACAAGCAGUUUUUCAAUUUGUGUCAGUAUUUAUACUGAGCUUUCUCUGACAUCUUUUCAUAAUUCUUCAGCAGGCUAACUGUGAUGUCUUGAUUUUUGUGAUUUGUCAGGUAUACUCUGUUCUUCAUGAUUCUUUACUAAUACUUUCUAUAGUUGCCUCUGGAUUGCAUUCAAUACCACAUAAUUAGUUGCAGGCUUCAGCAUUCUUCAAUAAUGUUAGAUAAGUUCAAUUUCCCACAUGUGAAAGAAGCCAGAUGCAAAAUACUACAUAGUGUAUCAUAUCAUUUAUGUGAAAUGUCCACGAAGGGCAAAUCUAUAGAGACAGAAAGCAGGUCAGUGAUUGCCUGGAACUGGGAGUAAGAAUAGGGAAGGAUUGAUUUCAAAUGGACAUGAGGAUAAUUUGGGGGUAAUGAAAAUGACCCUAUAUUGGAUUGUAAUAGUUGCACAGCUAUGUAAACUUACUAGAAAUCACUACAUUGUACACUUAAAAUUGACAUACUAUAUAUUAUACUUUGUUAACGAUGCUUUCAAAAGGAGAAACAGGAGGCUGCCACUGCUCCUAUCCUAACACCCUAGCUGAGUGACACCAUCUUCACAGGAAAAGGUUUCUAUAUGUAAAAUAUUAGAACUGAGGAGGCCGGCUGAAGGAACACUUCAUAAAGAAGUGAGCAGAACUGCAUAUGGCACAGAGACACUGAAAACCAGCAGAGAGAAAGACAGCAGACUGCCACUUACACUGCCUGCUACCUCUACCUGCCCACUCCUAUCCUGGCUCCCCAAGCCAGGUAACACCAUUCUGCCAGGAAAACUGUUCUGCAUUAGAACUGAGCAGGGCCGGCACCGUGGCUCACUAGGUUAAUCCUCCACCUGUGGUGCCGGCAUCCCAUAUGGGCGCUGGGUUCUAGUCCCAGUUGCUCCUCUUCCUGUCCAGCUCUCUGCUGUGGCCCGGGAGGGCGGCGGAAGAUGGCCCAAGUGCUUGGGCCCCUGCACCCGCAUGGGAGACCAGGAGGAGGCACCUGGCUCCUGGCUUCGGAUCAGCGUAGUUCCAGCCAUAGCGGCCAUUUGGGGGGUGAACCAAUGGAAGGAAGAUCUUUCUCUCUGUCUCUCUCUCACUGUCUAACUCUGCCUGUUUAAAAAAAAAAAAAACUGAGGAGACUGGCUGAGGGAACAUUCAAGUAAAGAAGUGGCAAAAAUUGCAAGUGGCACAGAGAUUCUGAAGGUCCACAGAGAUAGAGGAGUAAAGCAUGUGGUCUGCUGCCAUCACUGCCAGGGACACCAUCUCGCCAAGAACAAGUAAGAAGAAAGCACCAUGACCUCUGCCGCUGCCACAAAGGAACAGCCCUAACUAUGGGAGAAUUCCACAGUCCUCACUGACUUUAAAUCAAAUCUAGGGAACUGACCGAGGGCAGAGUGAAGAGUUUGCUUCAAAGAGAGAACCCACACUGCAUCCCUCUGCUCCCAAAAUGGCAGACUCAUGUUGCUGCUGAGAAGCUGCUAACCUCCACCCUGUCUUAGGAGGAAACAAGUAGCUCCUCUGCUACAAGAAGCUCUGGAAGACAGCAAGGGCACUUUCCAAGGAAGAGAGCAUGCCCCAGUGAAUCCUGCAUCCAGGGGAGCUCUGGGCACAAGCCCUGGAGCUACACUCACUAGGGACUCCUUGUGGCUCUUUAGGGCUAGUUCCCAGCAGUAGCCCAUACCAAUUACAGACCUGAGGUAACCCCUUCUUCAACUCUAACCACGGGGUGCUGGGGUCCCAAAGAACAAGCCCCAGCAUCACCCUUGCAUGUCCUAUGGAAACUAGAGGCACUCCCUUCUGUACCCUGCAGUUCUGGGACUGUUGGUGGUUUAAAACCCCUGGAAUCAGUCAUACCUCUGAGAUCUAGAAGGCCCUACCUGCAUUCAUCUGCUUCAGAUGGUGAUUGCCAAUCUUUUUCCUGAAAUAGCUGACACCCACCCUAUGACAUCUGGCUAAGAAAUCCACUGUAUUCUGCGGCCUGAGACUGUGACUAUUAGUACUAUAUUUCCCAAGAGUCAUCAGAACAUACAUUCCAAGACCUAGAGAAGACCCUACCUGCAAGACUUAGAAUAUGUCAAACAACUCUUUUGGCAUGUAGGGUUUUCUGCUGAGAAGUCUGCUGUUAUUCUAACUGGUUUUCCUAUAUAUGUAAUGAUGUUUUUCUCCUAUUGUCUGUUAGCAAACCAAAUCCAGUACUACAUCAAAAAGAUCAUACAUCACUAUCAAAUGUGAUUCAUCCUAGAGUUGCAAAGGUGGUUUAACAUUCAAGGAUCAAUCAACUUCAUAAAGCACAUCAACAGAGUGAAGAAUAAAAACCAUAUGAUCACCUCCAUAUAUGUGGAGAAAACAAUUGAUAAGAUUCAAUAUCGCUUCAUGUUAAAAAUAUUCAGAAUAAAUUUGGUAUAGAAGGAAUGUAAUUCAACAUUAUAAAGGCUAUAUAUAUAUAUGAUGAACCAACAGCCAAUAUAAUACUGAACAGGGAAAAACUGAAUGCAUUUCUCCUUAGACCUGUAACCAGACAAGGAUUUCCAGUUUCACUCAGUAUAGUAUUAGAAGUGUUAACAAUAGCAAAUAAAAAAGAGAAAUAAAAGGCAUCAAAAUUGGAAAGGAGAGGGGCUGGCUCUGCAGCAUAGUGGGUAAAGCCACUGCCUUCAGCACCGGCAUCCUAUAUGGGCAGUUGUUUGCUCUGCUACCUAUCCAGUUCUCUGGUAAUGGCCUGGGGAAAGUAGUAGAAGAUGGCCCAAAUGCUUGAGCCCCUGCACCCAUGUGGGAGACCCAGAGGAAGUUCCUGGUUCCUGAGUUGGGGGGAAAAGUCAAGCUGGAGACAUGAUAAUACUUUAUUUCAAAGCACACUACAAAGCCAUAGUAUUUAAAACAGCAUGUACUAACAUCAAGAUCAUCACAUAGAUCAAUGGAACAGAAUGGAGAGCCAAGAAAUUAAUCCACAUACUGAUUUUUGACAAAGGUGCUAGGAACACACAUUGGCAAGAGGAUAGUCUUUUCAAUAAAUGGUGCUAGCAAAACUGGAUAUAUGUAUAAAUGUAGAAGCAUGGAGGCCGGGCUGUGGUGCAGUGGGUUAACGCCCUGGCCUGAAGCACCAGCAUCCCAUAUGGGUGCCGGUUUGAGUCCUGGCUGCUCCACUUCAGAUCCAGCUCUCUGCUAUGGCCUGGGAAAGCAGUAGAAGAUGGCUGAAGUCCUUGGGCCCCUGCACCUGCGUGGGAGAUCAGGAAGAAGCUCCUGGUUCCUGGAUUCAGAUUGGUGCAACUCCAGCAAAAUGGGGAGUGAACCAUCUGAUGGAAGACCUCUCUUUCUCUCUGCCUCUCCUCUCUCUCUGUGUAACUGACUUUCAAAUAAAUAAACUUUAAAAAAAUAAAUAUAGAAGAAUGACAUUAUAUCCCUACCUCUUACCAUAUACAAAAAUGAACUCAAAAUGGGUCAAACACCUAAAUGUCAAACUGGAAACUAAAAUUGCUAGAAGAAACCAUAGGGGAAACAAUUCAAGACAGUGGUAUAGGUGACCACAUCUUGGAUAAAACCCUGAGAACAUAGCCAACGAAAGCAAAACUAGACAAAUGGGAUUAUAUCAAACUCAGAAGCUUCUGCCCAGCAGAGGAAGCAAAGUGAGGAGACUUCACUAGAUUGGAUGGAAGAAAAUAUUUUCUAUUUAGCUGACAAAGGAUUAAUAUCUAGAAUAUAUCAGAAAUAGAAAACUCAGUGACAAUAAAAUGACCAAUCCACUUGAAAUGGGCAAAGGAUCUGAAUAGACAGUUCUCAAAAGAAAAAAAUGCAAAUGGCCAACAAAUACAAGGAAAAAAGCUUAGAGUUGGCACUGUGGCAUGGUGGGUUAAGCUGCCACCUGCAGCACCAGCAUCCAAUAUGGGUGCCGAUUCAAGUCCCAGUUGCUCCACUUCCAAUCCAUCUCCCUGUUAAUGCACCUGGGAAAGCAGUGGAAGAUGGCCAAGUGCAUGGGCUCCUGAACCCACAUGGAAGACCCAAAUGAAUCUGCUGGCUUCUGGCUUUGAUCUGGCCCAGCCCUGGCCAUUGUGGCCAUUUGGGGAUGGAACCAGUGGAUGAAGACUUCCCUCUCUGUGCCUUUGCCUUUCCCUUUCUAUAGCUCUACCUUUCAAAUAAAUAAAUCUUUGUUUAAAAAAUGCUCAAUAUCACUAGUCAUCUGAGAAAUGCAAAUCAAAGCCACAAGGAGAUAUCAACUCACUUCUGCCAGAACAGCUAUUAUCAAAAAGAGUAACAUGCUGGUGAGGAUGUGGAGAAAGGGGAACUCUUACAUAGUGUGUUUGGAAAUAUAAAUUAGUGCAGUCAGUGUGGAAAGCACUGUGGAAAUAUCUUAAAAAAAUAGCCUUGGAAACUCAUGACUGGAGCAUAGGGAGAUUACUGAUGCCAUAGACAGGAGUGUCAAUUGGUAAAGUCAACAACAGGAGUCACUGUGCACUUACUCCUCAUGUAGGAUCUCUGUCCUUAAUGUGCUGUGCAUUGAGAUUUAAUGCUAUAACGAGUACUCAAACAAUAUAUUUCACUUUGUGUUUCUAUGGGGGUGCAAACUGUUGAAAUCUUUACUUAAUGCAUACUAAACUGAUCUUCUGUAAAAAAAAAAAAGAAAUUAUCAAU